AUUGAACGCUGGCGGCAGGCCUAACACAUGCAAGUCGAGCGGAUGAAGGGAGCUUGCUCCUGGAUUCAGCGGCGGACGGGUGAGUAAUGCCUAUGAAUCUGCCUGGUAGUGGGGGAUAACGUCCGGAAACGGGCGCUAAUACCGCAUACGUCCUGAGGGAGAAAGUGGGGGAUCUUCGGACCUCACGCUAUCAGAUGAGCCUAGGUCGGAUUAGCUAGUUGGUGGGGUAAAGGCCUACCAAGGCGACGAUCCGUAACUGGUCUGAGAGGAUGAUCAGUCACACUGGAACAGAGACACGGUCCAGACUGCUACGGGAGGCAGCAGUGGGGAAUAUUGGACAAUGGGCGAAAGCCUGAUCCAGACAUGCCGCGUGUGUGAAGAAGGUCUUCGGAUUGUAAAGCACUUUAAGUUGGGAGGAAGGGCAGUAAGUUAAUACCUUGCUGUUUUGACGUUACCAACAGAAUAAGCACCGGCUAACUUCGUG
rnacentral:rRNA from 1 species